UACGAAGGGGGCUAGCGUUGCUCGGAAUUACUGGGCGUAAAGGGCGCGUAGGCGGUUCUAUAAGUCAGGCGUGAAAUUCCUGGGCUUAACCUGGGGGCUGCGCUUGAGACUGUGGGACUUGAGGUCAGAAGAGGGUCGUGGAAUUCCCAGUGUAGAGGUGAAAUUCGUAGAUAUUGGGAAGAACACCGGUGGCGAAGGCGGCAUCCUGGACCGGCAUUGACGCUGAGGCGCGAAAGCUAGGGGAGCAAACGGGG
rnacentral:rRNA from 1 species